AACCGCGGUUAUACGAGAGGCCCAAGUUGACAGCCAUCGGCAUAAAGAGUGGUUAAGAGAACAUUAAACUAAAGCCAAACAUUCUCAGAACUGUCAUACGUACCCGAGAAUUAGAGGCCCCCCCACGAAAGUGGCUUUAACCCCUUCUGACCCCACGAAAGCUGAGAAA
rnacentral:rRNA from 1 species